CCAAGAAUGUAAAACACAAUCGUUGAUCAAACUUGACAUUGUUUCUCAUUAGCCAAACAAUGAACUCCACCAUCUACAACCCCGCAAAGUCUCACCACCCAUCUUCACAGUUCCCACAAAUCAAAACAUGCAAAACCCUCAAAGACUUGCAACAAGUCCAUGCCCACUUCAUCAAAACCCGCCAAAUCCACGACCCUCUCGCCGCUGCCGAAGUCCUCCGAUUCUACGCCCUCUCCAGUCACCGAAAUGUAGACCAUGCUCGUGCUGUAUUCAACCAAAUCCAAACACCCAAUUGCUUCUCCUGGAACACCAUCAUCAGAGCUCUCGCCGAGAGCUCUGAUCCUGAGCACCCACUUGAGGCUCUGUGUUUGUUUCAUAGAAUGGCGUGUGAUGGUUUGGUGGCACCAAACAACUUCACAUUUCCUUCUGUGUUGAAGGCAUGUUCUAGAAUAGGGAAUGCCCGAGUUGGGAAAAGUGUUCAUGGGAUGGUGGUGAAGUUUGGGUUGGAAUGUGAUGAGUUUGUUGUGAGUAGUCUUGUGAGGAUGUAUGUAAUGUGUGGGGUUAUAGAAGAUGCGCAUUUGUUGUUUUCUAGGAGUGUAGGUGAUUGUGGUGGUUUGAGUGAGAAGAAGAAAGAGGGGAAUGUGGUUUUGUGGAACUUGAUAGUUGAUGGGCAUGUGAGACUUGGGGAGUUUAGCACGGCGAGGGAGCUGUUUGAUAAAAUGCCUCAAAGAAGUGUUGUUUUGUGGAAUGCGAUGAUAUCUGCAUAAGCGCAAAAUGGGUUCUUUAGGGAAGCCGUGGAGAUGUUCCGCGAUUUGCAGAUUGGGGAUGUGUUGCCAAAUUAUGUGACUUUGGUUAGUAUCUUGCCUGCGAUAGCACAGCUUGGUGUGCUUGAUUUGGGGGAAUGGGUGCAUUUGUAUGCCGGGAAGCAUAGGAUUGGGAUCGAUGAUGUGCUUGGUUCUGCUUUGGUUGAUAUGUAUUCCAAGUGUGGCAGCAUUGAGAAGGCGCUUCUUGUGUUUGAGCAACUGCCUAAAAAGAAUGUGAUCACUUGGAAUGCCAUAAUCAGUGGGCUUGCUAUGCAUGGUAGAGGGAAAGAUGCACUAGAUUGUUUUUCAAAGAUGGAAAGAGCUGGUGUGGUGCCUAGUGAUGUAACAUAUAUUGGUCUCUUGAGUGCUUGUAGCCAUGGAGGUAUGGUGGAGCAGGGAAGAUCACUCUUUAACCACAUGAUUAAUGUAGUAGGCUUCGAACCUAGAAUCGAGCAUUAUGGGUGUAUGGUCGAUUUAUUAGGCUGUGCUGGACUUUUAGAAGAAGCUGAAGAGCUUAUACAAAACAUGCCAGUUAAGCCAGAUGAUGUUAUAUGGAAGGCAUUGCUUGGUGCUUGCAAGGUGCAUCGUAAUAUUGAGAUGGGUAAGCGCAUCGCAGAGAUUUUGAUGGAUUUGGCUCCUCGUGAUAGUGGAUCAUAUGUUGCUUUAGCAAACAUGUAUGCAUCUUUGGGAAAUUGGGAGGCAGUUUCAAAUGUGAGAAUGUUGAUGAAAGAUAUGGACAUUAGGAAAGACCCUGGAGGUAGUUGGAUUGAGCUUGAUGAAGUGCUUCAUGAAUUUCUGGUUGAAGAUAAAUCUCAUUCUAGAGCAGGAGAAAUCCAUUCAAUGCUGGAAGAAAUUUCCAACAAAUUAAGAUUAGAAGGGUAUAAGCCUAACACCACACAAUUGUUGCUCAACAUUGAUGAAGAAGAAAAACAAAGUGCUUUACAUUAUCACAGUGAGAAAAUUGCGGUUGCCUUUGGCUUAAUCAGUACAGCCCCUCAAUCUCCACUUCUAAUUGUUAAGAACCUACGCAUAUGCGAGGAUUGUCACUCCUCUAUAAAGCUAAUCUCGAAAAUUUACAAACGAAAGAUCAUUGUUCGGGACCGUAAGCGCUUCCACCACUUCGAGCAUGGGUUGUGCUCUUGCAAUGACUACUGGUAA